rnacentral:rRNA from 1 species
UACGAAGGUGGCAAGCGUUGUUCGGAUUUACUGGGCGUACAGGGAGCGUAGGCGGUUGGAUAAGCCCUCCGUGAAAUCUCCAGGCUUAACCUGGAAAGUGCAGAGGGGACUGUUCAGCUAGAGGAUGGGAGAGGAGCGCGGAAUUCCCGGUGUAGCGGUGAAAUGCGUAGAGAUCGGGAGGAAGGCCGGUGGCGAAGGCAGCCCCCCUGGGUCAAGACUGACGCUCAUGCACGAAAGCGUGGGGAGCAAACAGG